UGGGGAAUAUUGCACAAUGGGCGCAAGCCUGAUGCAGCAACGCCGCGUGAGGGACGACGGCCUUCGGGUUGUAAACCUCUUUUAGUAGGGAAGAAGCGAAAGUGACGGUACCUGGCAGAAAAAACGCACCGGCUAACUACGUGCCAGCAGCCGCGGUAAUACGUAGGGUGCGAGCGUUGUCCGGAAUUAUUGGGCGUAAAGAGCUCGUAGGCGGNCUGUCGCGUCUGCUGUGAAAACCCCGAGGCUCAACCUCGGGCCUGCAGUGGGUACGGGCAGACUAGAGUGCGGUAGGGGAGAAUGGAAUUCCUGGUGUAGCGGUGGAAUGCGCAGAUAUCAGGAGGAACACCGAUGGCGAAGGCAGUUCUCUGGGCCGUAACUGACGCUGAGGAGCGAAAGCGUGGGGAGCGAACAGGAUUAGAUACCCUGGUAGUCCACGCCGUAAACGGUGGGUACUAGGUGUGGGUUCC
rnacentral:rRNA from 1 species